GACAGAGGGUGCAAACGUUGUUCGGAAUUACUGGCGUAAAGCGCAUGUAGGCGGCAACGCAAGUCGGGCGUGAAAUCCCACGGCUCAACCGUGGAAGUGCACUCGAAACUGCGUAGCUAGAGUCCUGGAGAGGAAGGUGGAAUGCUUGGUGUAGAGGUGAAAUUCGUAGAUAUCAAGCGGAACACCGGUGGCGAAGGCGGCCUUCUGGACAGUGACUGACGGCUGAGGUGCGA
rnacentral:rRNA from 1 species